rnacentral:tRNA from 1 species
GGCCGACAGCGGAUGCCCGACAGGUGGUGGGCACCCAGCAAGCGCUCG